rnacentral:rRNA from 1 species
UACGUAGGUGGCAAGCGUUGUCCGGAUUUACUGGGCGUAAAGAGCGCGCAGGCGGUCGUUCAAGUCGCGUGUGAAAGCCCCCGGAUCAACUGGGGAGGGUCACGCGAUACUGAUCGACUCGAAGGCAGGAGAGGGUAGUGGAAUUCCCGGUGUAGUGGUGAAAUGCGUAGAUAUCGGGAGGAACACCAGUGGCGAAGGCGACUACCUGGCCUGUUUCUUGACGCUGAGGCGCGAAAGCUAGGGGAGCAAACGGG